AUCUUAUCACGAGUGACUGAGGGACAGGCCCUAUGAAGUCACAGCAACCCCCUGAAAAGGGAAGGUGCUAACUCCUGCAGAUUGGUUCGCCAUCUGAGAGAUAAGAG
rnacentral:ncRNA from 2 species